rnacentral:rRNA from 1 species
UGCCAGCAGCCGCGGUAAUACGGAGGGUGCAAGCGUUGUUCGGUAUUACUGGGCUUAAAGCGUGUGUAGGCGGAAGUGUAAGCGUCUUGUGAAAUCCCUCGGCUCAACCGAGGAAUUGCUUGGCGAACUACAUUUCUUGAGGCAAGUAGGGGUACACGGAACUCUUGGUGGAGCGGUGGAAUGCGUAGAUAUCAAGAGGAACGCCGGUGGAGAAGUCGGUGUACUGGGCUUGUCCUGACGCUGAGACACGAAAGCGUGGGGAGCAAACAGGAUUAGAUA